rnacentral:rRNA from 1 species
CCCUCCGUAGGGGGAACCUGCGGAGGGAUCAUUACAAGUGACCCGGGAUCUACCACCGGGAUGUUCAUAACCCUUUGUUGUCCGACUCUGUUGCCUCCGGGGCGACCCUGCCUUCGGGCGGGGGCUCCGGGUGGACACUUCAAACUCUUGCGUAACUUUGCAGUCUGAGUAAACUUAAUUAAUAAAUUAAAACUUUUAACAACGGAUCUCUUGGUUCUGGCAUCGAUGAAGAACGCAGCGAAAUGCGAUAAGUAAUGUGAAUUGCAGAAUUCAGUGAAUCAUCGAAUCUUUGAACGCACAUUGCGCCCCCUGGUAUUCCGGGGGGCAUGCCUGUUCGAGCGUCAUUUCACCACUCAAGCCUCGCUUGGUAUUGGGCAACGCGGUCCGCCGCGUGCCUCAAAUCGACCGGCUGGGUCUUCUGUCCCCUAAGCGUUGUGGAAACUAUUCGCUAAAGGGUGUUCGGGAGGCUACGCCGUAAAACAACCCCAUUUCUAAGGUUGACCUCGGAUCAGGUAGGGAUACCCGCUGAACUUAAGCAUAUCAAUAAGCGGAGAAA